GGAACGGAUGUACAGGACUGAGCGGCGGUCAUAUUUUGUACCGCUAUGCGGUACAUCUAGUUAUUUGUUUGUCUCCAAAGGCCAAGUAGACAUAUACUGGAGUCUGAGAGUGAGGAUGACACUGUGGUGAAAAGAACUCUGCCAAAAGCCCCCACAUUAGAGCAGCCAUCGUUCAGGAGAUACGUGGUAUCCCAGGAUACCAGGGGGUGUAUUGAGAUACCUGAAGAUAGUUGCUUGGAUAUCCCAGAAUAUCAGGUAGUAGUGGAAAAUUUGGAAUUAUAUUCAGACCUAUUCUUUACUAAUAAGUCAUUUGUAGUGAAGUAAAAAGUUGUCCUUUAUUCAGCUGUGUUUUAGUUCACUGAAUUACAAAUUAAACAAGUUGAUCGGUAUGGUCCUUUAUUAGCAGUAAUUGUAUAAAAGUUAAAUAAAUAUAAAUGUUAGAUGUUUAAAUCGGUCAUAUUUAAGGAUUCAAAUCCUGACUGUUAUGUAUAUUUUUCAUACCCAUUUCUAGCAUGUAAUGACCUUAGGGACUUCCCUUCACCAGGCCAUUGAGGUGACAAAUGGUUCAGCUCAGUGCAGCUGGACCACUAGGCAAAUGGGCCAGCAGGUUUCAGGGGUAGGAAGCCAGGGACCUGUGAGGGGCUCCUCAGGGCCAGUGCCGUACCAGGACCAGUCUGUCAGGGAGGUAGAGGCAAGCCAGGCAGCUCCCUCCAUAUGCAUCUGGGAGCAACCUGAGGUCUCACCAGGGCAGAGGUUACGAAACAUGCCCACCUGUGGCAACGUGUGUGGAUGUAAGAUUUAUUAUGUUACACUCCAGCCUUUACUUGUUACAUAUGGAUUUGCAUAGCUAAAUAGAUAAACAGGUGAAUGGGUAAAUACUGUCCUGAAAUAGCAGUGUUUCCUCUACACUGAUUUUGCCAUGGUGGCCCCCCACAGUAAAAUUAUUGACCCCACUCUAUCAGAAUUAGGGCAGACGCCCAAUUUAGUCACAGUUGCCUUUUAAAUGAACCUGCCGACGUGUCCUCCCCCGUGGCUGGCGUUCACAUUGCAAUUUAACAAUAAGUAGAACUAGUCAUACAUAAUUAGGGCCCGUCCAGUUUCACUUUUGUUGUGUGUAUUGUUGUGUUGAUUUGGUGGAGCGGAGUUGUGAGUUUGUGGACUGGCCUGUCCCCACUGCAAAAAAGAAAAAAUCUAGAGGAAACACUGAAAUAGAUGGAUGAAUACAUACAUACUGGAUUUUAAAAAGAAUUAUAUGACUAACUUGUGCCUCGCUUGUUUUUUCUCAGCUCUUCACAAUGUUUUGGUGAAACAGGAAAUGAUCAUGGAACAACAACGAACCAUGAUCAGAAUGAUUCAAGACCUAUAUGCUGCCAUAAACAGCGGCAGCAAUAAUUUCGCCACAACUGACAGGCGUCAAGCCUAUUUUCCUGUCGAAAAUCUUCAGGCACUAAUGGCUUUGGAGAAAGACCUCCAAACCAUCCUGAAUUAAAGAAAGAAUUGGCCCAGACUCCCAGGAGCAACUUGGGGUUAAGUGCCUUGCUGAAGGGCACAUCAGUGACAGCCGGGAAUUGAACUCAAGACUUUUCAGGCUACUGCAUGCAAUCUGACUCUUUAUUCAUAACAUUUCCAUCGCCUUCCCUCCCCCUCACCCCACCCCCACCCAUUUAAAAUCCAUGUAGGUAAUUUUCAGUUACUAUUUUUAGGUAAUCACUCUCGGACUGUCAGGGGGUACCACAGUGAAGGAAACAGUUUGGAGGAUUUUGAAGUCGGCCAUCAAGAAUGACCUUGCCAAAAUGGUAACCUGGCGGGGAAUCAACGGGAAGGUCAGCUUUGAAAAGCUGCACAUAAAGGCAGUUGUAAUCGAUGCUGUCAGAAGAAACCCUGUCUGCUCUGCCGCCACAGACGCAGAUAUUGCACAGGCCAUCAAGCGAUGGUUAGGGAAGGAGGGCGGUAAAAACGCCUGCCAACAGCCAACCAGGAACCAGCCAAUGAAUGAAUUGACAUUUAAUCAAAUUAAUAAUUUAAUAAAUACCAUGAAAUGCA